CCCCUUUUAAAAAGCACUCGGUGGGCCUUUUUGCUGGUGACCCGCCGAGCCGUCAAGAAGGGGCAGAGUGAAAACAGCGCUUUUGGGUGAAGUGGCAACAAGUGUUGUUUGCUUCAAUCGGUGUUGUGACAAGA